AUUGAACGCUGGCGGCAUGCCUAACACAUGCAAGUCAAACGGUAACACGAAACAGCUUUCUGUUUCUCUGACGAGGGGCGGACGCGUGAGUAAUGUCUGGCAAACUGUCGGAUGUAGGGUGAUAACAACUGGAAACGGUAGCUAAUACCGCAUAACUUCGCAAGACCAAAGAGGGGGAGCUUGUUGCCGCUUGCCAUCGGAUGUGCCCAGAUGGGAUUAGCUAGUAGGGGGGGUAACGGCUCACCUAGGCGACGAGCCCUAGCUGGUCUGAGAGGAUGACCAGCCACACUGGAACUGAGACACGGUCCAGACUCCUAAGGGAGGCAGCAGUGGGGAAUAUUGGACAAUGGGCGCAAGCCUGAUGCAGCCAUGCCGCGUGUAUGAAGAAGGCCUUCGGGUUGUAAAGUACUUUUAGCGGGGAGGAAGCGAGUAAAGUUAAUACCUUUACUCAUUGACGUUACCCGCAGAAGAAGCACCGGCUAACUCCGUG
rnacentral:rRNA from 1 species